CAAACGCAAAUUCUGAAUUAGACAAGGUUGAAACAGCGUUCGAAGUCUGCGGCACGAAAUCAUUAUCCUGCAUUGAUAAGAUGGAGUUGAGGAAAGCCUUAAAACUGGCAUUAAGCGUGCCACCGGAUGAGUCCGAUAAAAUUUUUCAGCAUGCGAAAAUUGAUCCUGCUGAUACCACGGUGAAUUUCGAAUUUGUGUUGGCCGCACUCUCAGCGCGGGCAGAGUACACUCACAUAUUCACUGGUACCACCGAAACAAAGAAAAAGAGUAUUUGAGAAUAUUUCAUCGACUCGUUCCACACUCAUCGAAGCAGGACUCACCGUAUUUGUAGCAGGCCGCUUCUCAGCCAGAUUUGCGCCAGUCCUGUGUGACUGUUCCAUUCUUGCUGAUAUUACUACCCUUUCAACGAAUAGAUAGCCAUUUUUUUUUAGUAUUACAUCGUUGACGAAGCAAGAAGUCAUCUUCGUGAGGAUUAAGCGAAACACGGAACGAGAAGAUUGCAUAGAGUACUAGGGAUUGUAUUAAAUAAACGAUAUUGUUGUCCGGCGUUCGCGUAGCGCGGAUAUAUUUCUUCGUUUCUAG